rnacentral:tRNA from 1 species
GCCUCAGUAGCUCAGGGGAUAGAGCGUCCGCCUCCUAAGCGGCAGGUCGCAGGUUCGAAUCCUGCCUGGGGCA